UUCCACGUAUGCAUUCAAAGAUUUGAUGUGAUAGAAAAUCUUUAAAAAAAAUUAGGAAUUUUUUGGAAACUAAACAGGACCCAGGCCUGCUACGGCGCAGGACCAAGCCACGACGGACCAGCCCAGUUGGCCCUCUCUCCAACACUUUGUCCACAAUUGUAUUUUUUUAAUAGCCCAGUCCUGAUUACGUUCUCUCUGUAGGGAGGCCUGUUUCAUUUUUUAUUUUGUCUAAUUUAGUUUUAGUUUCAAUUUUAGUGAAAUUUUGUGGUUGUCAAUUUCAGUUUUUUUUUCUAUAAUUUUAGGUUCAGUGAUUUUUUUCUUUUUGGUUACUUUAAUUUUUAUUUUCUAUUUGACGAUCUCAUUUUUUUUGUUACCAAUUUCAGUUUCAUUUAAUUUUGUAAUUUCAAUUUUAAUGUUUUUAGUUUUAAAUUUCUAUUUGUUAAUUUGAGUUUAAUUUUGUGUCGAUUUUAGUUUUAAUUGGCAACAAGUCAUGUUUCCUAGGUGUUGUAAUAAAUGCCCUUAGUUUUCAGCAAGUCAUGUUUUCUGGCUUUUGAAUGUGUUGUCUGACGGAGCCCUAAACCUCAAUAGCGGAGCGGGGCGGUGUGGGGACAUGUGGUGUGUGAGGUUAGGAUUGUUGAGCCUAUUUGUUUAAGUUUAUCUGUCAAAUCUAUUAGCUAUUUAGCAGUGUUUUUUCUCUAAUAAUAAAUCAAUUUAGCCAAGCGAAGUGACCCAUAAGGUUUGUUUUAUUAUUAUUUUUUCUUUUUGUUCAUACAUAUGAAUGCUGGGAGGGACUGAGGCAGUAGACCCUAAUGUAGUCACCGGUCAUGUUUGGUGUCGACGUGUAAGUCAUCUUUCAUUGAAUAAAUAGUUGUAUCAAUGGUACAAACAUAACAUAUAACCAAUUAACCUUUUCAGCACCUUUGCCCAUUUUCUGUUGGAUGCUAGCUGUUCUCAGGAACACAAUUGUUUUUGUUCUUAAGGGUACAUGCCCUCACAACCUGGAUCAUCACAGGAUUCACAUUGAAAUUUGUGUCCAGCAGGAGAGAGCCUACUAGGUACAAAUUUCAGUGUGAAUCCUAUGGUCCACGUUUUGAGGGCAUGUGCCCUUAGAGGUAAAAUUUACUUUACCUUGUUCUUGGUGGUAUCUCCAACGCAAAGGUCACCAGCAUUGCUUUUCCUCAGCCCUACUCGAUCCAUAGUUAGUUUCUCCAUAUUGUAUCCAUCGUUUACCAACAUAUUAUUGCAGAACCAAUCUAACUAUUCCUUUAGGCCUAUCACUAGGGAGAACAUCCUAACCAUCACGCCCCCCAUACGAACCAUUAGCACGACCACAACAAUUGCACAACAAGGACCUAUGACUACAGAGGUCGAGAUCAUGAAAACUUGGUCCUUGAUGUUCAUUCAAGUUCUUCUCAAGUUUGGAUGCAAUUAAAGUUUUACAAUGAUGACUUUAUGUUAUUACGAACAAGGGAGAAAAAACCUAAAGUAGGUUUGGACCACACGAUUCAAACAAACAUGUUCGAACCAAUAAGGCAACACAUUCAGACCACACUAGUCACAAGACACUACCAAUCUACCAUUUUGAGGAUAUUAAGUAGAGCAUGUUAGAGGUGUGUCCUAAAUAGGGUUUCUCCAAUCCUGAUGUUGCCCUAUGGAUAGGAACCCAUUGCAUAUAUUACUUUGCGGUCGUAUUCUGUUUAGAUAAAUUUUAGUUUUAGCUACUUGCAUAUAAUUGCUUAACUCGAUUCGUUAUGAACUUUCUAAAGCUAGACACUUUACUUAGCUGCUAUGUGAGACAAAACACUUCAGCGUGCUGCUCAGCAAAGUCGAGUUCUUCCUAGGGAAAAAAUGCUCUCUCUCCACCUUUCUACAACUAGGAGCUAGUGAACGCGAAGCAUGAAGAGAUUGCACCGGUUGCAAACAACAACACCUGCUGCUAGCAUGUGCUACUUAAGCUUUGUUUAGUUGACAAAUUUUUUUGGGAAAUGCUACUGUAGCACUUUCGUUUGUAUUCGACAAACUUUGUUCAAUCAUGAAUUAACUAGACUCAAAAAAUUCGUCUUGCAAAUUACACAUAAAUUGUGUAAUUAGUUAUUUCUGUUGAGGAACACCGUCAGGAUGUCCACGACUGGUGCCCACGACUGAACAAGGAGCGCGGUCACCACGGGAGAUAGCGCAUGAAGACCCGACGCACGGACUCGCGCAGCGCGGGGACGUCCACUCAUACACGUUGUACACGAUUGUAACUUGCAGUUGCCAAAUGAGCACCGCAUGAUUGUAACCUAUAUAUAUGUUGAGAGAUCAAUAGAAUGGGUCGUUGGCCCCAAAUUAUUUUCUACAUGGUAUCAGCUGACCAGGCCUUCUCCUGAUCUAACCACCAGCCGUGAUCUCGCCGCUUGCCGUGAUCACCACAAUCCCGCAGCGUAGCUCCUCUACCUCCUUCCGUUCCUCCAUGGAUCUCAACCCACUGUUCGAGGGCGACGUCUCCGACGAUGGUUCCUCCUCCUCUCACACUUCCGCCGACGACAUCUCCUACACCGGCAGCAUCGGCAGCAUCUCUGCUACCCCGCCGGUCGCCGUUCUUCAAACUGUCAACAUCAAGUCCCAUGUUCCUGUCAUCCUCGAACUCGCCAACCCCAACUACGACGAGUGGCGCUGCUUCUUCGAUGCCUUCCUCGGUAAAUUCAAUCUCGUCUCUCACGUCUCCUCUCCGCCAACCGCUGCGCAACGCCACGACACGGACUGGAUCGUCAUCGACCAGUGCAUCGUCAGCUAGCUCUACAUCUCCAUCGCCAAGGACGUGCGCAACAUCGUGCGCGCACCCAAGGCCACGGCGUACUGCAUCUGGCAGGCCAUCCGCGAGCAGUUCUGCGACAACGAACUUCACCGUGUCGUGUACCUUGAGGCGGAGUACCGCAAUCUGGUGCAAGGCGACAUGGACCCAGUACACCGGCCGCCUCAAGCAACUCGCCGACACCCUCCGCGAUGUUGGGCAACCAGUGCGUGAGACGAGCCAAGUUCUGAACAUGCUGCGCGGCCUCAGCUCCAAGUACCGGCAUGCGAUCCCGGCAAUCACUUCUCGUCAACCACCACACUCCUUCCUCUCGGCGCGCUCCUAUCUUCUCCUGGAGGAACAAUACGACAAGGAGCACGCAAAAACUGCCACGCAGCACGCACUGCUUGCCAGUGGUGGAUCCAAGCCCGCCCCAUCCCCCGACGGCAGCUCCACCAACACCUCAUCUACCAAUCAACAGUUCACACCUCAGAACAAUGGCGGUCAGGGUGGUUCUGCACCCCGCCACAACAACAGCAACCGGGGCGGUGGAGGUGGCGGUGGCCGUGGGCGUGGCCGCGGCCGUGGCCGUGAUCGCAGUCAACAGCAGCAGCAUCAAGGUGGUUCCAAUGCCCGCGGAUCACCAGCCUGGACUCCCGGCGUCAAUCCAUGGACCGGAAUGGUCCAGGCAUGGCAGAUGCCCUUCCGCACCCCUGCCACCAGUGUUCUUGGACCUCGACCUGGCACGGCAUCGAACGAAGCGUACUUUGCUGCCUAGCCACUCGUGGAGUUUCAUCAUCAACCUCCCGCGGUGGCUCCAGACGUCUGGAAUCAGCAGGCACUCAUGGCUGCUCUAGCUUCGGCGAACACCUCCCAGUCAGGACCCAACACUGCUGAGUGGUACUUCGACACCGGCGCAUCAUCCCACAUGACAUCAAACGCUGGUAACUUCAUUUCCUCCCGACCCGUUCUUCAUUCUCCCCAAUCACUAUCGACAAUGGAAUGACCAUGCCCGUCACUCAUCGUGCUUCCACUGUCAUCCCCACCUCAGCCCACCCUCUGAAACUGAAUAAUAUUCUUGUAUCACCAUCUCUUGUCAAAAAUCUCAUUUCUGUUUGUAGCCUUACUAGAGAUAACAAUGUCAGUGUUGAAUUUGAUCCAUUUGGUUUCUCUAUCAAGGAUCUUCCAACACAAACAGUGCUCCUCCGAUGUAACAGCCAUGGCGAUCUGUAUCCACUGUCUCUGAACUCCUCGCCCCCAGAGGCACUGGUCACCACGGCUCCAACUGUUGAUUUGUGGCAUCAACGCCUUGGCCAUCCAGGAAGAUGCACCCUACAGCACACCCUACCUUCACUUGAUUUUGUCCCGAAUAAACAAUCCACAGUUUGUGAUAGCUGUCAGCUUGGCAAGCAUGUUAGGUUGCCCUUUUAUUCCUCUUCUUCAGUUAGCUAUAUUCCAUUUCAAAUUGUGCACGCCGAUGUCUGGACAUCACCAAUUUCUAGUUUUUCGGGGUUCAAAUAAUAUUUGGUGUUAAUUGAUGAUUUGACUCACUAUGUCUGGACCUUCCCUCUGCGUGCCAAAUCUGAUGUAUUCCAAUUUCUAGUUGCCUUUCAUGCAUACAUUCAGACACAAUUCAACCUAUCCUUGCUUGCCUUACAAAGUGACAACGGCAAAGAAUUUGACAACCAUGCACUGCGCAGUCACUGUGCAGCCCACGGUAUUGCUUUACGUCUUUCCUGCCCAUAUACUUUUGCCCAAAAUGGGAAGGCCGAAAGAAUCAUCCGCACUCUGAAUGACUGCAUUCGUAGUUUGCUCCUCCAUGCCAUGCCCUCUACCUUCUGGGUCGAAGCUCUUUCAACCGCCACUUAUCUAAUCAAUCGACGCCCAUGUCAAACCAGUGGUACUUCCACCCCACAUGAGCUUCUCCUAGGUGCACCACCAGAGUACAGUCAUCUUCGCGUCUUUGGAUGCCUUUGCUUUCCUAAUCAGUCUGUCAUCACACUAAACAAACUCAGUGCCAGAUCCACCCCCUGUGCCCUUCUUGGCUACCCACAGGAUCAUCGAGGAUAUAGGUGCCUCGACCUUCAGACACGACGAGUGAUUACAUCCAGACAUGUUGUCUUUGAUGAAACCAGGUUUCCAUUCCUCAACUCCACCACUGACAAAAAUCCGACAAUAGCCUCCACACCAACAACAGUCUCUGACGAAAUUGUUAUCAUUCAGCCAAUUCAGACACUCCCAGUCUCACAAACAAUCACUCCAAGUGUCCAAACCACACAUGAGCCAUCUUCUGCCACCUCGACCUCUCCAUCCAUCCCACAACCUACAGUUCUAAGACCUCCCACUCCACCAACCACACAAUUAGCAGCAAACAAUAACCCUCCCCCUGCCCCUACUAUAACAGGCCAUCCUAUGCAGACAAGGUCUCGAGCUGGCAUCUUCAAACCCAACCCCAAAUAUGCUCUUGUCACCACACCAUCCACCAUAUCCCCCAUCCCGAAGUCUGUUCGAGCAGCGUUACAAGAUCUAAACUGGCGUUCGGCCAUGGCUGCUGAACACAAGGCCCUUCUCAGAAAUCGAACAUGGCGACUUGUAGACCGUUCUCCAGGCGCCAAUGUUGUCACUGGCGAAUGGAUAUUCAAACACAAACUCAAUCGAGAUGGCUCACUAGAGCGAUACAAAGCACGCUGGGUUGUCUAGGGAUUCACUCAGCGAGCUGGCAUUGAUUUUGGGGAAACCUUCUCACCUGUUGUCAAACCUGCAACAAUCCGAUCAGUCCUCACAAUAGCUGCAUCCAACCACUGGCCAACCAAACAGCUAGAUGUCUCCAAUGCAUUUCUUCACGGUCAUCUUCAAGAACAUGUGCUCUGUCAAACAGCCUCCUGGAUUCGUUGAUUCUACACAACCAGAUGCAGUCUGUCUUCUAGACAAGUCCCUAUACGGACUGAAACAGGCACCACGUGCCUGGUAUACCAGAUUUGCUGCCUAUGUCAUCAAGCUUGGCUUCCGUCCAGCCCGAUCAGAUUCCUCCUUAUUCAUUCUCCAAAACAGAUCACAGACUACCUAUCUUCUUCUGUAUGUCGAUGCCAUCAUGCUUACUGGCUCCAGUGAUGCAUUGCUGAAAGCCCUAGUUUGGUUUUGGAUAAUUGAUGAAACCCUAGUACUAACCUCUAUGCUAAGUGUGUGUAGACUUAAUGAGGUUGAUACAUACCAAGUGAUGGAGCAAGUGAUGAUCAUGGUGAUGAUGGUGAUGACCACAAGGUGAUCAAGUGCUCAACUCGGAAAAGAAGAAAGAGAAAAACAAAACCCUAUGGAGAUCAAGGCAAAGGUAUUGCUUAGGGUUUUGGUUUUAGUGAUCAAGACACCAUAGAGGGUGUGAUCACAUUUAGGAUAGAUAGCCGUACUAUAAAGAGGGGAAUUCUUUGGCUAAGCGGUUAUCAAGUGCCACUAGGUGUCAUUGUUCUUGUGCAUGCAUUUAGAUCCUAGUGAGCUAACUUAACUCCUUCAAAGAAAAUGUUUGUGAAAAUGCUAACACACGUGCACACUUGUUGGUUUACACUUGUGGUGUUGGCACACUUUGAGAAGGAGGUGGAGUUUGAAAGGUAGAGAGAGGAUGGGUUCCUCUCUCUCUCCCGCCUCGCAAGCUCGGCGGGAUUCGGCGCUUUUCGAGAAAAUGAAGUGCAUUUUUUCUAUUGCGCCGGUGGGAAAUUUGUAGAAGUCGCGGGAGUGUUUCUCGCUGAGGAACACUCACCGGACGCUGACUUAGAAGCACCGGACGCUAUUCCUGUGCGUCCGGUGAGCAGGCAGCCUGACUCGGUUAGGGUUAGGCACCGGACGAUAGGCACCGGACGCAGCUUGGAGCGUCCGGUGGUGUGCGUCCGGUGUGAGGAGGUUUUGCAAACCUCUCUGCGCAUGAGUCCGGUGCGCACCGGACGCUCAGGGUGCGUCCGGUGGCUCGCGUCCGGCGGUGACCCUGCAGGUUUGCGGAACUCUCUGCGCAUGAGUCCGGUGUGCACCGGACGCGUCCGGUGCUAACUUGCUCAAGCGUCCGGUGCUCUGCAGGUUACCGUUAGACUCUGACACGUGACUGACGUUGGAGCACCGGACGCAGGUGUUGAGCGUCCGGUGACCCCGUAUUUUCGCCCAGUGAAAGAGCCAACGGCUCUAUUUGUUUGAGGGGCUAUAUAUACGUGUUUGGCCAGCUUGGGGCUCACUCUCUUGGCAUUCUAACAUACUUGACAUCCUUGUGAGCCUAAGCAUACUCCUCCCACUCAUCUCCUUCAUAGAUUAUACAUCUUUGUGAGAUUGGGAGUGAUUCCAAGUGCAUUUGCUUGAGUGAUUGCAUCUAGUGGCACUUGGGGAUCGAUUUGGCUGUGGUUUACUUGUUACUCUUGGUGGUUGCCGCCACCUAGACGGCUUGGAGCAGCGGAGGAGGAUUGGCACGAGUUGGUGAUUGUUCGUGGCCAUCUCCCGAUGAUUGUGAGGGGUCUUGUACCUUCCCCGGCGGAGAGCCGAAAGGUAACUCUAGUAAAGUGCUCGUGUCAUUGAGUUACCUCACUUGUGGGUAGGUUCUUGUGGUGUCCUAGUGAGGACGAGGUUCGUGCAACACCUCUUAGCCACCGAACCACCAAGUGUUGGUCGACACAACGGGGACGUAGCGUGCCGGCAAGCACGUGAACCUCGGGAGAAAAAUUGUGUGUCUCCAUUGUGAUUGUUCAUUGGAUUUCUCCCGGUGAUUGGACUUCAUUUUAUUGGUUGGUUCAUCCCCUCUACGCGGCGGUAUAAAGUUCAAACCAUCUCUUUUACAUUCCCGCAAACUAGAGUAGCUUACUUACUUGUAUAGAAACUUUAGGUAGCUUUCUAGUGUAAGUAGUGACAUAGCUCUUGUGUGCCUAGUGAUUAUAUCAACUAGAAUUGUUUGGUAGGUGGCUUGCAAACACCCCAUUAGAGCUAGAGCAAAAAGCUUCGCUUUGUUUUUUACUAACCUCUUGCUCUAGUGAGUUUGUAGAAUUUCUAAAUAGGCUAUUCACCCCCCUCUAGCCAUAUUAGGACCUUUCAAUUGCUCACUUCUAUAAUUGCCAAGCUCCGUUCAGAGUUCGCAGUUCGGGACAUGGGGGCACUCAGUUUCUUUCUCGGCAUUGAUGUCAAACGAACAAAGGAGGGAUUUCAUCUCACUCAGGAUCGCUACGCUGAAGAUAUCCUUGAGCGGGUUGGUAUGACUUCCUGCAAGCCAAUUGCCACACCGAUCGACGCCAAAGGCAAACUUGACGCCGAUGGAACACCAGUCGACGAUGCCCACUCCUAUCGCAGUCUAGCUGGGGCACUGCAAUACCUAACAAUAACAAGACCCGACAUCACAUUUGUCGUUCAACAAGUGUGCCUACACAUGCAUGAUCCUCGCACACCUCAUCUGGCUCUGCUCAAGCGCAUACUCUGGUAUAUACGAGGAACGACACAACACGGCCUAAUGCUACGUGCAUCAUCAGACUUCAACAUCACAACCUACUCCGAUGCAAAUUGGGGAGGAUGUCCAGACACUAGGAGAUCCACUUCUGGUUUCUAUGUCUAUCUUGGUGACUCUCUUGUUUCAUGUCCAGACACUAGCAAUUCACCGACGUCUUCACCAAGGGGCUGCCUACGGCGGCCUUCGAGAAGUUUCGUUCCAGUCGGGGGGGGGGGGGGUAACUUCAUGCCCAGUGCCUCCCUCAGACUGCGGGGAGGUGUUGAGGAACACCGUCAGGAUGUCCACGACUGGUGCCCACGACUGAACAAGGAGCGCGGUCACCACGGGAGAUAGCGCAUGAAGACCCGACGCACGGACUCGCGCAGUGCGCGGACGUCCACUCAUACACGUUGUACACGAUUGUAACUUGCAGUUGCCAAAUGAGCACCGCAUGAUUGUAACCUAUAUAUAUAUAUAUGUUGAGAGAUCAAUAGAAUGGGUCGUUGGCCCCAAAUUAUUUUCUACAAUUUCUUUUAUCUAUAUUUAGUGCUCCAUACAUGUGCC
rnacentral:lncRNA from 1 species